GCUUGUGCACAUACGCAAAGAGUAAAAAGUAAUCUUUUGCAACUCUGUCAAUGAAUAGACAAGCAAAACAUUUCCUAAGUCUUAUAAAGUUAGUAUAAGCAAAAUAUUAAACUGAAACCAGUAAUAAUUUUUUAAAAAAGGUUUUUUAUGGCCAAUUUGCACUUACUUCAAGAAUGUGGAAUAGUAAAAUAAUAUGCUACAUAAUGGGUUUAGGAAUAAAAAUCACUUUCUCAAUAGGUGUAAAAUUUGUGAGAAUUAGGAUCCAUUCAUAAAAAAGAAAAACAACUCUUUAGCAAGAAUAGAAGGGAAUUUCCUUAAAAUAAACAGCAGCUCUUAAAAAAAAAAAAUCAACCAAGGAUGCCUGCUAUCAAAGCUUCAAGUAUGUACUAGAUUCACUAACCAGCAAAGCACAAAAAAUAAAAUAUUGAAAAGGAAGAAACUAAGAGAUCACCGCUGAACAGAAAAUAACCCUCAGCAUAAAUAAUUUCAUAUAAUCUAAAGAUAAUGGAUUAGUAAACAGCUACGAGUUGUUGCACCAACC
rnacentral:lncRNA from 1 species